ANUCUAGNCUACAGGCCGGGGACAACCACUGGAAACGGUGGCUAAUACCGGAUGUGCCGAAAGGUGAAAGAUUUAUUGCCUGAAGAUGAGCUCGCGUCUGAUUAGCUAGUUGGUGUGGUAAGAGCGCACCAAGGCGACGAUCAGUAGCUGGUCUGAGAGGAUGAUCAGCCACACUGGGACUGAGACACGGCCCAGACUCCUACGGGAGGCAGCAGUGGGGAAUUUUCCGCAAUGGGCGAAAGCCUGACGGAGCAAUACCGCGUGAGGGAGGAAGGCUCUUGGGUUGUAAACCUCUUUUCUCAGGGAAUAAAAAAAUGAAGGUACCUGAGGAAUAAGCAUCGGCUAACUCCGUGCCAGCAGCCGCGGUAAUACGGAGGAUGCAAGCGUUAUCCGGAAUGAUUGGGCGUAAAGCGUCCGCAGGUGGCACUGUAAGUCUGCUGUUAAAGAGCAAGGCUCAACCUUGUAAAGGCAGUGGAAACUACAGAGCUAGAGUACGUUCGGGGCAGAGGGAAUUCCUGGUGUAGCGGUGAAAUGCGUAGAGAUCAGGAAGAACACCGGUGGCGAAAGCGCUCUGCUAGGCCGUAACUGACACUGAGGGACGAAAGCUAGGGGAGCGAAUGGGAUUAGUACCCCNNUUUCCAAA
rnacentral:rRNA from 1 species